UACUAGCCAAAAACGUAAGGCAUACGAGGACGUGAAGCCAUAUUAGGCUUGGUCUGAGACCUGAUUCCAUCACAUCAUCCUAUUAAGAUAUGAAAAUAAUUAGGAGUAGAAGAAGGACUAUCCAUUCUCAAAAUAGCUGGUCGUCAUUCCAUGCUGUUAAUGGAUGUGGCCCUCGCAUACCAUGAGGAGAUAUUACUCACCUAACUUGAGAAGGUUGGAAGGACAGGC
rnacentral:lncRNA from 1 species